rfam:Valsa mali strain 03-8 chromosome 3, whole genome shotgun sequence.
UCCUCCAGAAUGAUGAAGUAUUUUCGGAUGUAAACACAUUUCUUGUCUGAAAAGCGCAAAAACCCCAUGUUGAUAUUUCCGUUGCCUUCCUUCUGAUCUGGUUA